GCCCUGGUGGCGCAGUGGUUAAGCGCUUGGCUGCGAACCAAAAGACUGGAGGUUCGAUCCUACCAGUUGCU
rnacentral:tRNA from 1 species